UACAGAGGUCUCAAGCGUUGUUCGGAUUCAUUGGGCGUAAAGGGUGCGUAGGCGGCGCGGUAAGUCGGGUGUGAAAUCUCGGGGCUUAACUCCGAAACUGCAUUUGAUACUGCCGUGCUUGAGGACUGGAGAGGAGACUGGAAUUUACGGUGUAGCGGUGAAAUGCGUAGAUAUCGUAAGGAAGACCAGUGGCGAAGGCGGGUCUCUGGACAGUUCCUGACGCUGAGGCACGAAGGCCAGGGGAGCAAACGGG
rnacentral:rRNA from 1 species